UACAAAAGGGUUUAAGAUACAUGAUAGUUUAGGAGUCUAGUGCAGGUGCCUGGGACAGUAGCGCCGAGAUCAAAAGGUGGCUGAAUGUGUGGUAUGCUGAUAGUGGUACAGCGCCAUAUAC